rnacentral:rRNA from 1 species
UACGUAGGGUGCAAGCGUUAUCCGGAUUCCCUGGGUUUAAAGGGUGCGUAGGCGGGCAGGUAAGUCAGUGGUGAAAUCUCCGAGCUUAACUCGGAAACUGCCGUUGAUACUAUUUGUCUUGAAUAUUGUGGAGGUAAGCGGAAUAUGUCAUGUAGCGGUGAAAUGCUUAGAUAUGACAUAGAACACCAAUUGCGAAGGCAGCUUACUACACAACGAUUGACGCUGAGGCACGAAAGCGUGGGGAUCAAACAGG